GCUCUGGUAGCUCAGCUGGAUAGAGCAUCUGCCUUCUAAGCAGAGGGUCGUGGGUUCGAGUCCCGCCCGGAGCACCA
rnacentral:tRNA from 1 species